rnacentral:rRNA from 1 species
UACGUAGGGUGCAAGCGUUGUCCGGAAUUAUUGGGCGUAAAGAGCUCGUAGGCGGUUUGUUGCGUCGGCUGUGAAAUCCCGAGGCUCAACCCCGGGCCUGCAGUCGAUACGGGCAGACUAGAGUGCGGUAGGGGAGACUGGAAUUCCUGGUGUAGCGGUGAAAUGCGCAGAUAUCAGGAGGAACACCGGCGGCGAAGGCGGGUCUCUGGGCCGUAACUGACGCUGAGGAGCGAAAGCGUGGGGAGCGAACAGG